CCUACGUGUGGCAGCAGUGGGGGAUAUUGGGCAAUGGGGGGAACCCUGAUCCAGCGACGCCGCGUGAGUGAAGAAGUAUUUCGGUUUGUAAAGCUCUUUCAUCAGGGACGAAGGAAAUGACGGUACCUGACCAAGAAGCCCCGGCUAACUACGUGUCAGCAGCCGCGGUAAUACGUAGGGAGCAAGCGUUAUCCGGAAUUACUGGGUGUAAAGGGCGCGUAGGCGGGUAAGUAAGUCUGGGGUGAAAUGCAGGGGCACAACCCCUGAACUGCUUUGGAAACUAUCGAUCUUGAGUGCUGGAGAGGUAAGCGGAAUUCCUAGUGUAGCGGUGAAAUGCGUAGAUAGUAGGAGGAACACCAGUGGCGAAGGCGGUCAACUGGACAGUAACUGACGUUGAGGCGCGAAAGCGUGGGGAGCAAACAGGAUUAGAUACCCGUGUAGUC
rnacentral:rRNA from 1 species